GAGAUAUCUUUUUCUCAUCUGGAUAUUUUACAGCCCUGAAGAUUACUUGUAUUAAAGAGAGAGAGAAGAGAACAUGAACCUUGGUGACUGGUAAACUGGCCAAAACUUUUGGUCAACUCUUGGACUAAAUUAACCCAAUCAACUGAUGACCCUGCAACAUGGUAAAUGCGAGAGGUUUAAGUGUCUACAGUUAGACAAGAGCAGCAAUCCCUAUUACUGGAUGGUUG
rnacentral:lncRNA from 1 species